rnacentral:rRNA from 1 species
GAUGAACGCUGGCGGCGUGCUUAACACAUGCAAGUCGAACGGAAAGGCCCUGCUUUUGUGGGGUGCUCGUGUGGCGAACGCGUGAGUAACACGUGAGUAUCCUCUCCUUGUCUUUGGGAUAACUUCAGGUAACUGGGGCUACUACCGGAUAGCAUCUCCUCCCGCAUGGAGGGCGUUGGAACGUUUCGGUGGUCGUGGUUGGACUCGCGGCUUACCGGCUUGUUAGUGGGGUAGUGGUUUCCCAAGGCAUUCAAGGGUACCCGGCCUGAGAGUGGGGACGGGCACAUUGGGACUGAGAUAGGGACCAGACGGCUACGGGGGGCAGCAGGGGGGAAUAUGGCACAAUGGACGAGAGCCUGAUGCAACAACGCCGGGGGCGGGAAGACAGCCUUCGGGUGAUAAACCGCAUUCGCCUGUGACGAAGCGUGAGUGACGGUAAUGGGUGAAGAAGCACCGGCUAACUACGUG